CAGUUGCUCGUAUCAUAACAUUUGAUUACUGCUUUCAGUUGUCGAUGCAAUCGCCCUACUAUCGCGUUGGACGCCGCAUGAUAGGCCGCCGUGCGCAAAUGCUUGAUGCCGAACAACCGGCAUAAUUCUUCGAAUAGUUUUGAUUCGAAUUGGCGUCCUUGGUCGGAUGUUAUUCUCAAGGGUACGCCGAAACGAGCUAUCUACGUAGAAAGGAGGGCUGAAGCAACGGUUGAUGCUUCGGUUACUGAUAUCGGUUGCUGAUAUCGGUUAUGGGGACUGAUUCGGGCCAAUGCGGGACCGUUGUCGAUACACGUUAGACAAUAUCGGUAUCCUAUCGGAAUAUUGCAUCACGAUAAUGUUUAUGUGUAUGUGUUGGAAUCGGCCUGCUAAUGCUCCAAAUGUUCCGACUGGUAUGGAUACGUGCCUGCUGACUUUACAUCACUGACAUGGAAUACAUUGUUGUGCCCAGUUUUGACAGUCCUUGUUUAUCGAUGGCCAAACGAAACGCGUCGUCACCAAAUUUUGCGGAGCGCGUAUCCCAGAAUGGGAAAGUCCGUGUAGCGAAUUAACACUUAGCCAACCACGCGUGUCACAGCGAGCUAUGUUUCCACCGCGCUCGGACAAGCUAACCUAUACACUGUCUACCGCGCAUUUCUCCAAGUAUCGAGGACUAAUAUUCAUUACUUAAAAAACAAAGAAGUUUAAAAAUUAUUUAAGUGGUUAAUUAUAUUUUGCGAUAAUGAUUUUAUUUAACGAUUUCACAUAUUUUUUAUACAAAACAUCAAAUUAAAAGUAUAUAUUAAAAGUAUAGAAAAAUACAGGUAACACGACUUUACCGUGAAAUUAAAAAUUCAUAAUGCAUUUUAAUAUUUUUUUACAGUGUGGUGUCGUUCGAUUAUAACUUUAUUUAGUCAUAACUGAUAGUGUAAUUUUUUAAUUAAUUUUAACACCACUAAAUUGAUGUAUUUUAUUAUAUACCGUACUUUACAAAGGAAAAAAAGUGGCACAAUUAAUUGGGAACAAUUCCAGGUAAACAAUAAUUGAUAAUAACAACAACAAGAAAGAAAACGCCAAGCCAAAUACUAAACCAAACACUAGCCAAACGCUAAAGCCAAAAAGGGAAAUCUCCUCGUUCGGUUACGCAGCGAUGUUCUUCACAGAAAGAAGAUUUCCCUGUACGGUUGGCUACACUGCUCCGCAAGGAUUUCGGUACAUACGGUUGUACGAUGCCAACUGAUACAUCGCAAUAUAUUUCUAUGUCGUGAUCAGGAAAACGUAUUUUUUUAACACUAAACCUACCAGCGCUGGUCAAAUUGACCGUUUUCAAACUUCUACACAAAUUUAAACAUAUUUACACGUUAUCAUAUCGCUUCAUAAUUUCUGACUUUUCCUAAAACAUGCAUACAAUAUAUUUUUCGGUAUUUACUUCUAGUUUGCUUUUUUCUUUUCUAAGAAAAAAUUGUAUUCUGUCCUGCCUACCGUAGGUAGUCAAUUUAACCAGCCGAUAAAAUAUUUUAGUUACUCUUAAAAUAAAUGCAAUCAGUACAAAGAAAAGGCUAUCUCAAAGUCAGAUGACAAACAAAAUCAGAAUAACACUUGUUAGGCCUGUAAUCUUGUCAUAGUAUAAUCCAUCUCGAUCAAGAUGACCACCAGGUGUCAAAACAUCAACUCAAGUCCAUAAUAAUCCUAAGGAAUCGCCAUUGAACUUAGCAUUUUUUGCGGUCAAUUGUUACAAACAUUUUAAAAGCCGAGAAGUUUUUUAGGGUUAUUGCUCAUUCCGAUAAAACACGGGAAAAGCGGGUUUUUCCCGUGUUCGACGGUUAAUUCCACGGUUCCCUUGAGCAACUGUUGGUGGAGAACGGCCAGCACUCAUCAAUAUUUUCGUAUAAAUAUCACCGUCACAGACCAUAUUCUUACUUGCUAUCGUCAUUUCGACCAGAAUACAUCUCAGUUUGUUAAUCAAUCAGUCGAUAUCUAAACUUGUUAUCACUAAACUCAGACAGAAAGCAUCUCAGAGCGUUUUGUGUACAGUUGUUAUAAAAGAAAAAGUAAAGCAUAUAUACUUUAGUAAUAAUUUUGUAUUUUGUAUUCCGUACAUGCUAUUAUUACGUGAUAAAUAUUUACCUUAAAAAUGUCUUCUUUCCAAAAAAAAAUUAUUAAAAAAAUAACGAACAUAGAAGAAGACUGUUCAAUGUACGAUGAACCAGAAAUUUCAGCAGCUGAAAACAGCAUAGAAACACAUGAAAAGCUAUUUAUAACAGAACCAGAGUUGAAUAUUAUAAAUAAGCGUUCACGUCCAGGGCAAAAAAGAAUUAUGACGGAUCUCGUGUACACGAUCGGUUAUCCGGGUCAGAGUUUCGGCUUUCGCCUAUUCCGUAGUGUCCAGAACCUGCUGCACGUAAACUGGUAGUCGGCUCCUUCAGAAUGUGACGACGAAGUCAUCGGGUGUUGAGACUGUGACGAAUUUCUUCAGGUCCCGGUAGAACUUGGACGGCGUCCUAACUCCCAUAUAUAUUCGUACCGCCCCAUCUCCGGUGGGUCGAACAGUAUGUCCCGAACUAGCUGUAUAUACCGUUCUGUAAGAUUCACGACGGUGAUGUGGUAUUUUGCCCUGUCGCUGGUAAUACGGGCAGCUUCGAAGUGUGAUUGCAGCAUCAAGAACUACAGCAUUACAUCGUGCGACCAGAAUUCCGGUAUACGGAGCGGUGUACUCACCGUGUUUAAGCUGUCGUUCCUGUUCGUCGCGGAUUUAGCCCCGUUGGUGCUAAUCAUUUCGAAGACUCUUAAUUCGCGGAAACACUGUUUAAGUCGCGCUACAUGUGCAUCUCUUCUCAAUGCAGAUCACGUCGGGGUCACCAAUUUGAGGUGGAGGACGUGUAGGCUGUUAUUAAAGUAAAGUUUAACAGUGUUUAUUUCGAUGACUAAAGCGCGUCGUUUUAGGUCGGACUACGUUACGU